rnacentral:rRNA from 1 species
GACGAACGCUGGCGGCGUGCUUAACACAUGCAAGUCGAGCGGAGCUGCGAACGGGCGAGUAACUCAUGAGUAACUGCCCCCCUCUCUGGGAUGACAGUUGGAAACGGCUGCUAAUACCGGAUAGUGUGGGAUGACUCGCGUCCUAUCAGCUUGUUGGUGGGGUAGUGGCCUACCAAGGCGACGACGGGUAGCCGACCUGGGAGGGCGAACGGCCACAUUGGGCUGAGAUACGGACCAAACUCCUACGGGAGGCAGCAGUGGGAAAUAUGGCACAAUCGGGGCAACCCUAAUGCAGAAACGCCGCGUGCGUGAUGAAGGCCUUCCGGUUGUAAACCGCUUUCAGCCAUGACGCGGUAGUGGCAGAAGAAGCACCGGCUAACUACGUGCCAGCAGCCGCGGUAAUUC